rnacentral:rRNA from 1 species
GGUUCGAUCAUGGCUCAGAUUGAACGCUGGCGGGAUGCUUUACAAUACGCAAGUCGAACGGCAGCACGGACUUCUGUCUGGUGGCGAGUGGCGAACGGUGAGUAACAUCGGAACGUGCCUAGUAUGGGAGACCGCGAAAGCGUAGCUAAUACCGCAUACGCCCUUCGGGGGAAAGCGGGGGACCUUCGGGCCUCGCAAUUAGAGCGGCCGAUAUCGGAUUAGCUAGUUGGUGGGGUAACGGCUCACCGCGACGAUCCGUAGCUGGUUUGAGAGGACGACCAGCCACACUGGGACUGAGACACGGCCCAGACUCCUACGGGAGGCAGCAGUGGGGGAAUUGGACAAUGGGGGAAACCCCCGAUCCAGCCAUCCCGCGUGCGAUGAAGGCCUUCGGGCUGUAGCAAUGCCGUGAAAGUGAACGGCACGGGAUAAUACCCCGUGCAACUGACGGUACCUGCAGAAUAAGCACCGGCUAACUACGCCAGCAGCCGCGGUAAUACAAAAGCAGACCAGCUCAUUGGCGCGUGCAGGCGGUUCGGAAAGAAAGAUGUGAAAUCCCAGAGCCUUAACUUUGGAACUGCAUUUUUAACUACCGAGCUAGAGUGUGUCAGAGGAAGGACUACAGGUAGUAGUGAAAUUGCGCGUAGAUAUGCGGAGGAACACCGAUGUAGAAGGCAGCCUCCUGGGAUAACACUGACGCUCAUGCACGAAAGCGUGGGGAGCAAACAGGAUUAGAUGUUCUGGUAGUCCACGCCCCAAACGAUGUCAACCAGCUGUUGGGCUUUCUGGGUCGGUGGCGUAUUAACGGCAGUGAAGUUGACCGCCUGGGGAGUACGGUCGCAAGAUUAAAACUCGUAUGAAUUGACGGGGACCCGCACAGCGGUGGAUGAUGUGGAUUACCCGAUAACGCGAAAAAAACCUUACCUACCCUUGACAUGUCUGAAUCCCGAAGAGAUUUGGAGUGCUCGCAAGAGAACCGGAACACAGGUGCUGCAUGCUGUCGUCACACAAAUGGGAGAUGUUGUUGUCUGCGGUCGGCGCAACCCUCACAAUAGCGGCGAAAGGCAUUUCAUGAGGUCGCCGUACAAACCGGAGGCAGGGAUGACACCAAGUCCUCAUGGCCCCCAUGGUGGGUAGGCCUACACGUCAUACACGGUCGGGACAGAGGGUCGCCAACCCGCGAGGGGGAGUCAAUCCCAGAACCUGAUCGUAGUCCUCGAUCGUAGUCUGCACCCCGAACGUGGCGCUGAAUCGCUGGUAAUCAUGUGAUCAGCAUGUCGCGGUGAAUACGUUCCCGGGUCUUGUACACACCGCCCGUCACACCAUGGGAAGGGUUUUACCAGAAGUAGUUAGCCUAACCGUAAGGAGGGCGAUUACCACGGUAGGAUUCAUGACUGGGGUGAAGUCGUAAUGAAGGUGCAG